rnacentral:rRNA from 1 species
CCUACGGGAGGCAGCAGUGGGGAAUAUUGGGCAAUGGAGGCAACUCUGACCCAGCAACGCCGCGUGAAUGAUGAAGGUCUUCGGAUUGUAAAGUUCUGUGAUGGGGGAUGAACACAAUGACGGUACCCCAAUAGCAAGCCACGGCUAACUACGUGCCAGCAGCCGCGGUAAUACGUAGGUGGCAAGCGUUAUCCGGAAUGACUGGGCGUAAAGGGUGCGUAGGGUGUUUAGUAAGUUGGCGGUGUAAUUCCGGGGCUCAACCUCCGCGAUACCGCCAAAACUAGUAGACUAGAGUGCAGGGGGGGUACGUGGAAUUCGUAGUGUAGCGGUGGAAUGCGUAGAUAUUAGGAGGAACAUCAGGGGCGAAGGCGACUUACUGGACUGUAACUGACGCUGAGGCACGAAAGCGUGGGGAGCAAACAGGAUUAGAUACCCGGGUAGUC